AGAAGGCUUUGCUUUAAAAGUCUUUUUUUCUUGGUGAAACAUCAUCAUUCCCUAUAACCCAGAUAUAAUUUUCUUCUCUCAAUGACAUCUUGUCACCUUACAUGAGUACUCUAAAAGUAGUCUUGGCAUGGAAGUGAAUAACUGACCUCAUAGUCUACAGUUCUGCGUGAUGAAUACUGUCUCCAAAUCUGCAUCACCCCCAAAAGUUGUGUCUAUACCCCACUGCAAGGAUGUGGAUCUGGCAAUGAUCCAGUUCAUUUGAUCUACAUAGCUGAUGGAAACAGAUAAUUUAAGUUCCAAAUUUCCCCAUUAAUCAAAAUAGUCUGAUGACGGAUACAUCUGCUUUUACUUUGGGUUGUGUAGACACAGUCUAAUUGUGCAUUUCCUAAAAACAAAACUGUAUCAUCUGGAACAUUCACAGAGCUCUUCCUGCCCACAUUUCUUUCCCAGCCGUUGACUAAACAGAUAACUCAGUAAUUAAAAUUCAUAAUCAA